UGACAUAGAGGCUCUGCUAACACGGUUGUUAACAAGUGGUGUUUUGAUGAAUUCUCUGGCAAUGUCUUUACUGUAUGGUAGAAAGAAAUAAUACGACCCCCCGCCUAUAAACAUGUGGCUAGGUGCAUAUUUAGCUGCAGAGUGAAAAGAAAUAACAAAUUUAUGAGGUAACUUAAACUGUGUUGUCACUUGUCAGUCGAGCAUGUAAUUAAGUUGUAUUUGCAAGGCAGGAGUGUUGUUCUGGGGAAUCAACUUAGUUCUCAUGGAUGCAAUGAACAACAAGAUCCAUGCGUUCAUUCCAGGUCAAAAUGUGGAAAAAUUUGAAGACAAGAUAACAGUAGCAAAUCUGUUCAUAAUAUCAGACUUUGAAGUACAAGCAUACAAAGCAGAUGAAAAGUUUAGUGUCUACACAAUAACAAGCAACUCAUAUUUAAUGGCGAGACAAAAAUUAAGGACAUAGAAGACGAUAACAGUAUUGCAAAGGAGGAGGUUUUUGAUUUUUAUGAUCACGCUGAUCUGAAGAAUAUUGCAGAUAAAAAUAUCUACUUGACAGAUAUUGUGGGGAUAAUACAAGACUGUGACAAGCUCCACCCUUUGAAAAAUAGAUUUGGAAUAGAUCAAAUUCAGAUGCAUUUCUCUAUUACAGAUGGGAG